rnacentral:rRNA from 1 species
AGUGAACGCUGGCGGUAGGCCUAACACAUGCAAGUCGAACGGCAGCACAGUAAGAGCUUGCUCUUACGGGUGGCGAGUGGCGGACGGGUGCGGAAUACAUCGGAAUCUACUUUUUCGUGUGGGCUAACGUAGGGAAACUUACGCUAAUACCGCAUACGACCUACGGGUGAAAGCAGGGGAUCUUCGGACCUUGCGCGAUUGAAUGAGCCGAUGUCGGAUUAGCUAGUUGGCGGGGUAAAGGCACACCAAGGCGACGAUCCGUAGCUGGUCUGAGAGGAUGAUCAGCCACACUGGAACUGAGACACGGUCCAGACUCCUACGGGAGGCAGCAGUGGGGAAUAUUGGACAAUGGGGGCAAGCCUGAUCCAGCCAUACCGCGUGGGUGAAGAAGGCGUUCGGGUUGUAAAGCCCUUUUGUUGGGAAAGAAAAGCAGCAGGUUAAUACCCCGCUGUUCUGACGGUACCCAAAGAAUAAGCACCGGCUAACUUCGUG